GCAAGUCGAACGCUCCCUUCGGGGAGAGUGGCAGACGGGUGAGUAACACGUGGGAAUCUACCUAUCUCUGCGGAACAACACAUAGAAAUGUGUGCUAAUACCGCAUACGCCCUUUGGGGGAAAGAUUUAUCGGAGAUAGAUGAGCCCGCGUUUGAUUAGCUAGUUGGUGAGGUAAUGGCUCACCAAGGCGACGAUCUAUAGCUGGUUUGAGAGGAUGAGC
rnacentral:rRNA from 1 species